UAGUCCACGCCGUAAACGAUGAGUACUAAUUAUUGUGGGUAUUGACCCCUACAGUAAUGUAGCUAACGCGUUAAGUACUCCGCCUGGGAAGUUCGGUCGCAAGACUAAAACUCAAAGGAAUUGACGGGGGCCCGCACAAGCGGUGGAUCAUGUGGUUUAAUUCGAAGCAACGCGCAAAACCUUACCUGGGUUUGAAAUCCUGCGAACUAUUCAGAGAUGAUAAGGUGCCCUUCGGGGAACGCAGUGACAGGUGCUGCAUGGCUGUCGUCAGCUCGUGUUGUGAAAUGUUGGGUUAAGUCUCGCAACGAGCGCAACCCCUGUUGUUAGUUGCCAGCAUUAAGUUGGGCACUCUAGCAAGACUGCCCGGGUUAACCGGGAGGAAGGUGGGGAUGACGUCAAGUCCUCAUGGCCCUUAUAUCCAGGGCCACACACGUGAUACAAUGGUGCAUACAAAGGGAAGCUAAGCAGUGAUGUGUAGCAAAUCCCAAAAAGUGCAUCUCAGUCCGGAUUG
rnacentral:rRNA from 1 species